rnacentral:siRNA from 1 species
CUAGAGAUUGUGAUAAUGCCC